GUCGUCGUGUCGUGCUGUCAUGGCAUAUCGUGGGAUGACUGGUAUGAAAGUCAUGGUCGAUACAAUUUUAAACAAAUCCGUUUACACUUGCUAUCAAUUCAAUGGUUAUAUCUCUGAAGACUUCAAUUGCUGCACUCAAAGGGCACAGUCAACACUUGCAGCUGUUUGUUUACUUUUCAGCACUGCCAUCUAGUAGCCUAAACGUCACAACAGUUAUUUGAAUUUGAAUUUGACAUUUUCCCUUGAUUUGACCUUAAUUUAACGAUUGUUAGCUGUUUUCUAUGAAUAUUUAGUUUUACAAUGCGAAUAGACAUUCUAAAGGGUUAUUGCCAAACCGUAACUUUUGCUUUCUAAAAUUCGAAUUCGGGUUUUUUAGAUUUUA